AGACUGCAGAGGCAGUUGAAGUAGCAAAAACGAAGGUGGAGUUUGUUGCAGAUACAUCAGAUGCAUUUGAAGAGGAGGAGACAGCAUCUGAGAAAAUGGGUAUCGGUAUAUAAUAUUAUGAUACUGUACUCUAUAUUAAAUACUGUACUUUACAUACAGUAUUUUAUAUUCUUUUCAUGCACGUUACAUUACACAAGAAAUUUAAUGUUCCAUUUAGGACCCAACAAAUUUGUAGG